CAGCAGCCGCGGGAAUACGAAGGGGGCUAACGUUGUUCGGAUUUACUGGGCGUAAAGGGCGCGUAGGCGGACUGAUAAGUCAGGGGUGAAAUCCCAAGGCUCAACCUUGGAACUGCCUUUGAUACUGUUUGUCUUGAGUUCGAGAGAGGUAAGUGGAACUGCGAGUGUAGAGGUGAAAUUCGUAGAUAUUCGCAAGAACACCAGUGGCGAAGGCGGCUUACUGGCUCGAAACUGACGCUGAGGCGCGAAAGCGUGGGGAGCAAACAGGAUUAGAUACCCCGGUAGUCCCUGUCUCUUAUAC
rnacentral:rRNA from 1 species